GCUGCGACUGCUUUCAAUACUGACUGCCUGUGUGAGGAACUGAAGCUGCAGGAGGGAUGAAUGGUGUUAAUGCCAAGUUCCAGAGCAAGAGAGGACUUUAGACGAUGUGGGAUGCUCCACAUUUCUCAGAGGCCUGGUUUUCCUGGAUGAAAAGAUAGCUGCAGGUCUUGUGGAUGAACAGAGACCCUCUAUGGUCAGCACUCCACAGGCAGAGGCAGCUCUAGCAAUGCAGCUGCAAGUUUUUAGGCACUGAGGAUGUUUUACCAGUUCUCUACUUAUUCCUCUACCUCUGCUCCUGUCACUGCACAAGGAGUCUUGAAAACUCAGAGCCUUUGCUCAGCUACCAUCUGCUGACAUUAUGGAGCUAUUAUGUGACUCUGUGGAGUCACAGAAAAGAAGCAUGGUGAAUCACAAGGGAAGGGACCAGCUUUAUC